UUCUGCGGCCUCACCUCAGGGUGGUUGG
rnacentral:misc_RNA from 1 species